AUUUGGUCAAGCUACUAAGGGCAUACGGUGAAUGCCUUGGCACAAGAAGGCGAUGAAGGACGUGGUUAGCUGCGAUAAGCCUCGGGAAGGUGCAAACUACCGUUGAACCGAGGAUUUCCGAAUGGGGAAACCCAGUAUGGGUCAUGCCGUACUACUCUCUUCUGAAUAUAUAGGAAGAGUUGAGCCAACUGAGGGAAUUGAAACAUCUUAGUACCUCAAGGAAAAGAAAACAAUAGUGAUUUCCAAAGUAGCGGCGAGCGAAAUGGAAAAAGCCUAAACCCUGACUGUGUCAAGCCUGCGAGCGUUGCAGUCUGGGUGUUGCGGGAUGGUUUCGGGCGUCUUUGCAGAGAUGCCGAACAGUUACAAAAUCAAUCAUUAGCCGAAGAGUCUGGAAAGUCUCACCAUAGCAGGUGAUAGUCCUGUAGGCGAAAAUGAACGAUCUGUUUUGAAAUUAUUCCCAAGUAUCAUGGAGCACGUGGAAUUCCAUGAGAAUCCGGGUCGACCACGACCCAAGGCUAAAUACUCUCUUGUGACCGACAGUGAACUAGUACUGUGAAGGAAAGGUGAAAAGUACCCCUGGCGGGGAGUGAAAUAGAACCUGAAACCGUAUGUCUACAAGCGGUCGAACCCUGACUUGGUCGGGGAACGGCGUGCCUUUUGCAUAAUGAGCCUGGGAGUUACUCUUACGUAGCAAGGUUAAAGAAAUAAUCUGGAGCCGUAGCGAAAGCGAGUCUGAAUAGGGCGAUUAGUUACGUGAGGUAGACCCGAAGCCGUGUGAGCUUACCAUGGCCAGGAUGAAGCACCGGUAAAACGGGGUGGAGGUCCGAACCGAAGUAGGUUGAAAACUGCUCGGAUGAGCUGUGGUAAGGGGUGAAAGGCCAAUCAAACUCGGCGAUAUCUGGUUCUCUCCGAAAUAGCUUUAGGGCUAGCGUCGGUUAAAAGUGUAAUGGUGGUAGAGCACUGAAUGGGCUAGGGGCCCCACAAGGUUACCAAACCCAAUCAAACUCCGAAUGCCAUCUACAUGUUUACCGGCAGUCAGGCAGUGGGGGAUAAGCUUCAUUGCCAAAAGGGAAACAACCCAGACCAUCAGCUAAGGUCCCAAAAUCUGUGCUAAGUGAUGUAAGGAUGUGAAAUUGCUAAAACAGCUAGGAUGUUGGCUUAGAAGCAGCCACCAUUUAAAGAGUGCGUAAUAGCUCACUAGUCGAGGGAUUUUGCGCCGAUAAUCCUCGGGACUAAGCACAGUACCGAAGCUAUGGACUUGUUAAUUCAAGUGGUAGGAGAGCGUUCCAUCAACCGUCGAAGGUGUGUCGUAAGGCAUGCUGGAGGAAAUGGAAAUGAGUAUCCAGGCACGAGUAGCGAUAAUCUCGGUUAAAAUCCGGGACACCGAAAACCUAAGGUUUCCUGAGUAAAGCAACUCUGCUCAGGGUUAGUCGACCCCUAAGGCGAGGCCGAAAGGCGUAGUCGAUGGGAAACAGGUUUAAUAUUCCUGUACCACUUAAUGUGCGUUAUUACCUACGGGGAACGCAGGAGUGAAAGUCCAGCCAGCGAUUGAAAGUGCUGGUUUAAGGUCGUAGGAAGGCCGGGUAGGCAAAUCCGCCUGGUCAAUUCCGAGAGCCGAAUAGGAGAGCCUAGCUCAUAAACUGGACCUAACCAUACUGCCUAGAAAAGCCUCUAUGGGAGUGCAUUGGGUGAUCGUACCGCAAACCAACACAGGUAGGUGAGGAGAGUAUCCUAAGGUGCGCGAGAGAACUCUGGUUAAGGAACUCGGCAAAUUAGCUCCGUAACUUCGGGAGAAGGAGCGCCUUUCUAAAAUAACCCCUCGCGGGUGAAAGAGAGAGAGGCCGCAGUGAAAUGGCCCAAGCGACUGUUUACCAAAAACAUAGGUCUCUGCUAAGUCGUAAGACGAAAUAUAGGGACUGACACCUGCCCGGUGCUGGAAGGUUAAGGGGAGUGCUUAGAGUCCUUCGGGAUUCGAAGGUGCGAACUGAAGCCCCAGUAAACGGCGGCCGUAACUAUAACGGUCCUAAGGUAGCGAAAUUCCUUGUCGGGUAAGUUCCGACCUGCACGAAUGGUGUAACGAUUUGGGCACUGUCUCGACCAGAGACUCGGCGAAAAUGAAGUGUCGGUGAAGAUGCCGGCUUCCCGCGGCAGGACGGAAAGACCCCGUGAACCUUUACUAUAGCUUGGCAUUGGGUUUCGAAUAUU
rnacentral:rRNA from 1 species